AAUCAACGCUGGCGGCGUGCCUCAGACAUGCAAUUCGACCGAUUAAACUUCCCUUCGGGGGAAGAUAUAAAGUGGCGGACGGGGGAGUAACACGUAAGUCAUCUACCUUCUAGUGGGGAAUAACGUUCGGAAACGAACGCUAAUACCGCAUAAUGCAGCGGCAUCUUAGGAUGACAGUUGUUAAAGAAUUUAUUCGCUUGAAGAGGAGCUUGCGGCAGAUUAUUUUGUUGGUAAGGUAAUGGCUUACCAAGGCUACUAUCUGUAUCCGGGCGGGGGGGGCGGCCGGACACACUGACACUGAAUAACGGGUCAGACUCCUACGGGAGGCAGCAGUCGGGAAUUUUGGGCAAUGGGCGAAAGCCUGACCCAGCAACGCCGCGUGAAGGAUGAAGUCUUUCGGGAUGUAAACUUCGUAAGAAUAGGAAGAAUAAAUGACGGUACUAUUUGUAAGGUCCGGCUAACUACGUGCCACCACCCGCGGUAAUACGUAGGGACCAAGCGUUGUUCGGAUUUACUGGGCGUAUAGGGCGCGUAGGCGGCCGUGGUAAAGUCACCUGUGAAAUCUCCCAGCUUAACCUGGAACGGUCACCUGAUACUGAUGUGCUAGAGUGCAAAAGGGGCAAUCGGAAUCUUGGUGUAACGGUGAAAUGCGUAAAUAUCAAGAAGAACACCUGAGGU
rnacentral:rRNA from 1 species